rnacentral:rRNA from 1 species
AUUGAACGCUGGCGGCAUGCCUAACACAUGCAAGUCGAACGGCAGCAUGAUUUGUAGCAAUACGAAUUGAUGGCGAGUGGCGGACGGGUGAGUAAUACGUAGGAAUCUACCCUAAAGCGGGGGAUAACCCGGGGAAACCCGGGCUAAUACCGCAUACUACUCUGAGGAGGAAAGCUUGGUUUACCAGGCACUUUAGGAGGAGCCUACGACUGAUUAGCUAGUUGGUGAGGUAAAGGCUCACCAAGGCGAUGAUCGGUAGCUGGUCUGAGAGGAUGACCAGCCACACUGGGACUGAGACACGGCCCAGACUCCUACGGGAGGCAGCAGUGGGGAAUCUUGGACAAUGGGGGCAACCCUGAUCCAGCGAUGCCGCGUGUGUGAAGAAGGCCUUCGGGUUGUAAAGCACUUUAGGCGAGGAGGAGGCUCUUUUGGUUAAUACCCAAGAUGAGUGGACGUUACUCGCAGAAUAAGCACCGGCUAACUCUGUGCCAGCCGCCGCCGUAA